UGGGGCUGCGGCGGCCCCUGGCCCUGAGCCCCAGGUGGGCGGCCCGGCGGUUCGAGCUCGGGGCGUCCUCUCGUAAGGGGCGUGAGGGAGGAGCCCGCCGGAACACAGACUGCUUGGCUGGGAAGAGCCUAUUCGUGGAUUGUUUUUCCCUGCCCCGCAAGGCAGUUACACCAGCAGGAGAUCUGGGACAGCUUUGCAUCUUUCCUAGGGAUUGCCAGUGAAUCCUCAGCAGGUGGAAGCUUCCCUGGAACUGGCCUUUGCCCCACGAGGCGGUCGCAGGGGCUGGCAGUUUUAAGAUCAGACGGCUAAUUGGCAAGUGAAGAGUGCAUAUUGACUGUCCUGCUUCUAAGAGAGCUUUACAAGUUGAACUGUCCCGCUCCUCAAUCCUCGCAGUCACGCCGCGCCUGGGCUGUUGGCGUGUGUCGUGUUGCUGGUGCUUUAUGAACACGGAGCAGCUGCUCAUCUUGGUCUGUAUCACAAGAGGGCGCUCACCUAAAGCGAAAAGCGCAGGGUUGUGCGUGAAUUCCCUUUUUUCCUUCUGUUUUUCCUACUCCAAUAUUUCGACAUAGUGCUCAGAUACUAUGAUAUUAUGAACAGAUGACAAAGUAUGCUCUGUGGGUUAGAAGGAUAGAGAUAGAAGCGUUAGCAUGAGGAAAAUGAUCCAACUUAUUUGCGUGAUGUAAUUGUUAGUAAUUUUAAUCCAUGUGGCUAAUUGAAGAGUAUUAUCUACUCGGAAUUAAAAUUAAUGGUUUGUUAAUAACUAUGAUGGUGAUGUGUAUUUUGUUUAAUUAUGAGCUGUCGUAGUGUUUGAACUCUGCACUAGUGAAGAGUGAGGCAAUGGAAAGGCUUUGUUAGAUCAAGACCUAUGAGCAAGUUACAGAAUUCUCAUUGCAUCAGGAGAAGAAAACCACCAGUUCACUGCAUUUAGAAGUACAGUAAUGUGUAGAUGAGCCCAUAAACCAAGAGAAAUAUUUUUUUUUAUUCUUUACUGUGAGUCGGGUGAGGCAUUGGAACAGGUUG